rnacentral:rRNA from 1 species
GACGAACGCUGGCGGCGUGCUUAACACAUGCAAGUCGAACGAAGUGGCGAACGGGUGAGUAACGCGUAAUCAACCUGCCCUUCAGAGGGGGACAACAGUUGGAAACGACUGCUAAUACCGCAUACUGAAGGAGGGGAUUGCGUCUGAUUAGCUAGUUGGAGGGGUAACGGCCCACCACGGCGAUGAUCAGUAGCGGGUCUGAGAGGAUGACAGGCAACAUUGGGACUGAGACACGGCCCAGACUCCUAAGGGGUGCAGAAGUGGGGAUUCUUCCGAAAUGGACGAAAGUCUGACGGAGCAACGCGGCGUGAGUGAGGACGGCUUUCGGGUUGUAAAGCUCUGUUAAUCGGGACGCGGUACCGGAAUAGAAAGCCACGGCUAACUACGUGCCAGCAGCCGCGGUAAUUC